rnacentral:rRNA from 1 species
CUUUGAACGCACCUUGCACCUUUUGGCAUUCCGAAAGGUACACCUGUUUGAGUGUCAU